AUUGAACGCUGGCGGCAGGCCUAACACAUGCAAGUCGAGCGGAGCGGCGGACGGGUGAGUAAUGCCUAGGAAUCUGCCUGGUAGUGGGGGAUAACGUCCGGAAACGGGCGCUAAUACCGCAUCCUAUCAGAUGAGCCUAGGGCGGAUUAGCUAGUUGGUGGGGUAAAGGCCUACCAAGGCGACGAUCCGUAACUGGUCUGAGAGGAUGAUCAGUCACACUGGAACUGAGACACGGUCCAGACUCCUACGGGAGGCAGCAGUGGGGAAUAUUGGACAAUGGGCGAAAGCCUGAUCCAGCCAUGCCGCGUGUAUGAAGAAGGCCUUCGGGUUGUAAAGUACUUUCAGCGAGGAGGCGUUACUCGCAGAAGAAGCACCGGCUAACUCCGAGCCAGCAGCCGCGGUAAUAC
rnacentral:rRNA from 1 species